rnacentral:rRNA from 1 species
AUUGAACGCUGGCGGCAGGCCUAACACAUGCAAGUCGAGCGGCAGCGGAAAGUAGCUUGCUACUUUGCCGGCGAGCGGCGGACGGGUGAGUAAUGUCUGGGAAACUGCCUGAUGGAGGGGGAUAACUACUGGAAACGGUAGCUAAUACCGCAUAACGUCGCAAGACCAAAGAGGGGGACCGUCGGGCCUCUUGCCACCAGAUGUGCCCAGAUGGGAUUAGCUAGUAGGUGGGGUAACGGCUCACCUAGGCGACGAUCCCUAGCUGGUCUGAGAGGAUGACCAGCCACACUGGAACUGAGACACGGUCCAGACUCCUACGGGAGGCAGCAGUGGGGAAUAUUGCACAAUGGGCGCAAGCCUGAUGCAGCCAUGCCGCGUGUAUGAAGAAGGCCUUCGGGUUGUAAAGUACUUUCAGCGGGGAGGAAGGUGUUGAGGUUAAUAACCUCAGCAAUUGACGUUACCCGCAGAAGAAGCACCGGCUAACUCCGUGCCAGCAGCCGCGGUAACAC